ensembl:antisense
AGGUGAAGGAGGAAGAGCGAGAGUGGAGGCCAAGUCGGCUCUAGGCGGCUGAAUCCGGGCCGUUGGUACACCUUUCUUUCUUCUGCACCACUCUAGGGGUCAGGCGGGUCUGGUGCCAGAAGGAAAAAACCAAGGCAACGGUUCUAGCGAAGUCCGUGAGCAAUGGCUUGAUUUCCCCAGUACUGGAGACUCGGUCUUCGUAAGAAAGAUUCAGCACAAGGUUGUCAGCUGUGAGAUAGAUUCGGUUCUGUGAUGUGGCGAUCUACAGGACAUGGAACAGACGUGUUAACAGGCUUCAAGUCUUUGAUUCAAUGGCCACCCAGUGGAAGACACAGUAACAGAACAGGCUCCUGCUCUAGUACAAAGACCCGAUGCAAGAAGGCUUAGUGUCAUAGCUCUGUAACAGCCAUAAACAAAACCCGGGGAGCACUGUGGGGUCGGUCACUCUGCAGGAGGAAGGGUGCCCAAAGACAUUGUUUAAGUAGAAACUCAAGCCAGUUCUAAUGCCACUGUGUGACUGUGUAGCAGCCCUUGGAUGGUGAAGCCUUCCACUCACCGUUUUAGAGAUGUUCUGGGCGGCCCGGAUCUUUCGGAGCUUGAUAUAGCCAGGAUUCUUGCUCAGUGCUUCUCCAAGGUGAGCAGA